rnacentral:rRNA from 1 species
UACGUAGGGUGCGAGCGUUGUCCGGAAUUAUUGGGCGUAAAGAGCUCGUAGGCGGCUUGUCACGUCGGGUGUGAAAGCCCGGGGCUUAACCCCGGGUCUGCAUUCGAUACGGGCAGGCUAGAGUGUGGUAGGGGAGAUCGGAAUUCCUGGUGUAGCGGUGAAAUGCGCAGAUAUCAGGAGGAACACCGGUGGCGAAGGCGGAUCUCUGGGCCAUUACUGACGCUGAGGAGCGAAAGCGUGGUGAGCGAACAGG